rnacentral:rRNA from 1 species
AUACGGAGGAUCCAAGCGUUAUCCGGAAUCAUUGGGUUUAAAGGGUCCGUAGGUGGACAGAUAAGUCAGAGGUGAAAUCCUGCAGCUCAACUGUAGAAUUGCCUUUGAAACUGUUUGUCUCGAGUCAUUGUGAAGUGGUUAGAAUGUGUAGUGUAGCGGUGAAAUGCAUAGAUAUUACACAGAAUACCGAUUGCGAAGGCAGAUCACUAAUAAUGUACUGACACUGAUGGACGAAAGCGUGGGUAGCGAACAGGAUUAGAAACCCUUGUAGUCC